rnacentral:rRNA from 1 species
AUGAUGAUGAAGCGGUCGCUCGAGUUGGAGGAGGCACGGCCAGUUUAUCUCUCCCCAGAAAAACGCCAGCGACUCGCCCUCGAGUCGCUCCCCCGCGCCGCUCCGCCGCUUCCCACGCCCAAGCCUGCUCGCGAAUCCUCCUCCUCCUCCCACCGCGACUCGUUCCGUCACCGCGACCGUGAAGAGAAGCGCGGCUCGUUCCGUCACCGCGACCGCGAAGAGAAAGAUGUGCUGGAGAAAACGGCGGAGAAGUUGCGGGAGACGAUCAGGGAGCAGUACCUAGGGUCCAACAAGACCAAGACCAGGACGGUCUCCAUGAAACCCUCGGCCAAGUUCCGCUUCUCGUUCGACUGGGAGAACACGGACGACACCAGCUGCGACACGAACGCGCUCCAUCAGUCGCCGCUGCUGCUCUACGGCCGAGGCUUUCUCGCUGGUAUCGACCGCCGCGAGCAGAAGAAAGCGGCAGCCCAGAAGGAGAACCGCGUCGAGCUGCGGCGCGACACCAGCCCCGAAGAAAGCACGAAGAAGAAGGCGGAGAUGCGCGACUCCUUUGGCAUGCGCGUGGACAGGCACUGGACCGACAAGGCGGCCGAGGAGAUGACCGAGCGGGACUGGCGCAUUUUCCGCGAGGACUUCAACAUCUCCUACAAGGGCUCCCGCCUGCCCCGGCCGAUGCGGGACUGGAAAGAGAGCAAGCUUGGAGCCAGGCUGCUUCGUGCCAUCGACAAGGUUGGCUACAAGAAACCGUCUCCGAUUCAGAUGGCCACCAUCCCACUCGGUCUGCAGCAGCGCGAUGUUAUCGGUGUCGCCGAGACAGGCUCGGGGAAGACCGCCGCGUUCGUGCUCCCCAUGCUAUCCUACAUUAGCCGCCUGCCACCCAUUACGGACGCCGAAGCCGCCGAAGGUCCCUAUGCUCUUGUGAUGGCACCAACUCGCGAGCUCGCUCAGCAGAUCGAGAGAGAGACCACCAAGCUUUCGACUUACCUAGGAAUUAAGGUCGUGUCCAUCGUCGGCGGCCAAUCCAUUGAGGAGCAGGGAUUCGAGGUUAGGCAGGGCUGUGAGGUUGUGAUUGCCACGCCUGGCCGGCUCCUUGACUGCCUGGAGAGAAGAUACAUUGUGCUCAACCAGUGCAACUAUGUCGUGCUUGACGAGGCUGACAGGAUGAUCGACAUGGGCUUUGAGCCACAGGUCGCCGGCGUCCUUGAUGCGAUGCCAUCUAGCAACCUGAAGCCUCAGAACGCGGAAGAGGAGCUGGACGAGAAGAAGAUCUACAGGACUACCUACAUGUUCAGUGCCACCAUGCCACCUGCUGUGGAGCGCCUUGCAAAGAAGUACCUCCGGAACCCCGUCGUCGUUACCAUAGGCACGGCUGGCAGCGCCACGGGCCUCGUAACUCAGAGCGUGAUCAUGGUGAAGGAGUCGGACAAGAUGCCACGGCUCCGGAAGAUCAUGGCGGAUCUUGGGGGGGACAAGACAGCCGUCGUCUUCUGCAAUACAAAGAGGUCGGUGGACGACCGUGCCAAAGAUCUAGAGAGGCUGGGAUUCCGCGUCACAACGCUGCAUGGUGGCAAGUCACAAGAUCAGAGGGAGAUCAGCCUCGAUGGGUUUAGGAACCGUCGGUUCAACGUGCUCGUGGCCACCGACGUCGCGGGGCGUGGCAUCGACAUCCCUGAUGUUGCCCAUGUGAUCAACUAUGAGAUGCCCAGUUCGGUUGACACAUACACGCAUUGUAUUGGAAGAACAGGGCGCGCGGGGAAGAAGGGGCUCGCGACUUCAUUUUUGACUCUAGAGGACAGAGACAUCUUCUUUGAUCUCAAGCAAAUGCUUGUACAGAGCAAUAGUUCUGUGCCACCUGAACUCGCAAGGCACGAUGCCUCGAAAUUUAAGCCUGGCUCAAUUUCUGAUAGACCUCCAAAGCGAUGUGACACCAAGUAUGCAUCUCACUGA